UGGGGAAUAUUGCACAAUGGGCGCAAGCCUGAUGCAGCCAUGCCGCGUGUAUGAAGAAGGCCUUCGGGUUGUAAAGCACUUUCAGCGGGGAGGAAGGCGUUAAGGUUAAUAACCUUGGCGAUUGACGUUACCCGCAGAAGAAGCACCGGCUAACUCCGUGCCAGCAGCCGCGGUAAUACGGAGGGUGCAAGCGUUAAUCGGAAUUACUGGACGUAAAGCGCACGCAGGCGGUUUGUUAAGUCAGAUGUGAAAUCCCCGGGCUGAACCUGGGAACUGCAUCUGAUACUGGCAAGCUUGAGUCACGUAGAGGGGGGUAGAAUUCCAGGUGUAGCGGUGAAAGGCGUAGAGAUCUGGAGGAAUACCGGUGGCGAAGGCGGCCCCCUGGACGAAGACUGACGCACAGGUGCGAAAGAGUGGGGAGCAAACAGG
rnacentral:rRNA from 1 species